AGAACUUCAUUCUGCAAGGCCCUAUCAUCCUUUAUUAUGCUUGAAGCUCCUUCAGAGAUUAUCGAAAUACUGGAGCACCUGCAGGAAACCACCAAUGAGCAGACCAACUACCGUAGUCCCCAUGCCACCAUUUCCACCAAUCACUCCUUUGAAUUCCGACAAAACAGUCCCUCAUACCCCUGACAGACGUGGAGAUUCAUGAGUCAUAAACUUCUGCAGGAAUUUCAAGGCCAAAGACAAUGUCUUCUUCCUCCAGCCAUCUCGUUUAAUACCACAGCUGUAGAGCAAAGAGCUUUGUCUAGCUGCGCCUUUUACCACAGUGUAUCCUUUUCUACAUUCUGGAUAAAAUGA